GAUGAAGAACGCAGCGAAAUGCGAUAAGUAAUGUGAAUUGCAGAAUUCAGUGAAUCAUCGAAUCUUUGAAUGCACAUUGCGCCCUUUGGUAUUCCGAAGGGCAUGCCUGUUCGAGCGUCAUUUCACCACUCAAGCCUGGCUUGGUAUUGGGCGCCGCGGUCGAUCCGCGCGCCUCAAAGUCUCCGGCUGAGCUGUCCGUCUCUAAGCGUUGUGAUUUCAUUAAUCGCUUCGGAGUGCGGGCGGCCGCGGCCGUUGAAUCUUUCACAAGGUUGACCUCGGAUCAGGUAGGGAUACCCGCUGAACUUAAGCAUAUCAAUAAGCGGAGGA
rnacentral:misc_RNA from 1 species